GAUGAACGCUGGCGGCGUGCCUAAUACAUGCAAGUCGAGCGAACGGACGAGAAGCUUGCUUCUCUGAUGUUAGCGGCGGACGGGUGAGUAACACGUGGAUAACCUACCUAUAAGGCUGGGAUAACUUCGGGAAACCGGAGCUAAUACCGGAUAAUAUUUUGAACCGCAUGGUUCAAAAGUGAAAGACGGUCUUGCUGUCACUUAUAGAUGGAUCCGCGCUGCAUUAGCUAGUUGGUAAGGUAACGGCUUACCAAGGCAACGAUGCAUAGCCGACCUGAGAGGGUGAUCGGCCACACUGGAACUGAGACACGGUCCUGACUCCUACGGGAGGCAGCAGUAGGGAAUCUUCCGCAAUGGGCGAAAGCCUGACGGAGCAACGCCGCGUGAGUGAUGAANGUCUUCGGAUCGUAAAACUCUGUUAUUAGGGAAGAACAUAUGUGUAAGUAACUGUGCACAUCUUGACNGUACCUAAUCAGAAAGCCACGGCUAACUACGUGCCAGCAGCCGCGGUAAUACGUAGGUGGCAAGCGUUAUCCGGAAAUAUUGGGCGUAAAGCGCGCGUAGGCGGUUUUUUAAGUCUGAUGUGAAAGCCCACGGCUCAACCGUGGAGGGUCAUUGGAAACUGGAAAACUUGAGUGCAGAAGAGGAAAGUGGAAUUCCAUGUGUAGCGGUGAAAUGCGCAGAGAUAUGGAGGAACACCAGUGGCGAAGGCGACUUUCUGGUCUGUAACUGACGCUGAUGUGCGAAAGCGUGGGGAUCAAACAGGAUUAGAUACCCUGGUAGUCCACGCCGUAAACGAUGAGUGCUAAGUGUUAGGGGGUUUCCGCCCCUUAGUGCUGCAGCUAACGCAUUAAGCACUCCGCCUGGGGAGUACGACCGCAAGGUUGAAACUCAAAGGAAUUGACGGGGACCCGCACAAGCGGUGGAGCAUGUGGUUUAAUUCGAAGCAACGCGAAGAACCUUACCAAAUCUUGACAUCCUCUGACCCCUCUAGAGAUAGAGUUUUCCCCUUCGGGGGACAGAGUGACAGGUGGUGCAUGGUUGUCGUCAGCUCGUGUCGUGAGAUGUUGGGUUAAGUCCCGCAACGAGCGCAACCCUUAAGCUUAGUUGCCAUCAUUAAGUUGGGCACUCUAAGUUGACUGCCGGUGACAAACCGGAGGAAGGUGGGGAUGACGUCAAAUCAUCAUGCCCCUUAUGAUUUGGGCUACACACGUGCUACAAUGGACAAUACAAAGGGCAGCGAAACCGCGAGGUCAAGCAAAUCCCAUAAAGUUGUUCUCAGUUCGGAUUGUAGUCUGCAACUCGACUACAUGAAGCUGGAACCGCUAGUAAUCGUAGAUCAGCAUGCUACGGUGAAUACGUUCCCGGGUCU
rnacentral:rRNA from 1 species